rnacentral:lncRNA from 1 species
CUGCCCUUCAUGGCAACAGAUCACACAGCAGCAAUGACUUUCAUCACCAUCUUCAUAUGGACACUUGUCUGCUUUCAUGGUUCCAGUGGCCAGAUUACUGUGACUCAGACUCCAUCAGUGACAUCUGUUCUCCCAGCACAGACAGUCACUGUGAGCUGUAAGACCAGCAGUUCUGUGGGUACCUGUUCUUAUAGUGGCUCAAAUUACCCCUGUCUUGCUUGGUACCAUCAGAAGCUGACAUGGUGUGUUCACAGAGUGUUACACGGCCGUACAAAAACCUCCCUCAGCUCUCCAGGAGCUGCUCUGGCUCAUCAACAGGCAACCACAGAGGACUGAGGCAGAGAACAGCUGCAGAGCUCCUACAAUCACACUGAAUAGGGU